rnacentral:rRNA from 1 species
CUCAAAGAUUAAGCCAUGCAUGUCUCAGUACAAGCCAAAGUAAGGUGAAACCGCGAAAGGCUCAUUAAAUCAGUUAUGGUUCCUUAGAUCGUACCCACAUUUACUUGGAUAACUGUGGUAAUUCUAGAGCUAAUACAUGCAAACAGAGCUCCGACCGGAAACGGAAGGAGCGCUUUUAUUAGAUCAAAACCGAUCGGUGGUGGUUCACGCCAUCAUCGUACCAUUUGGUGACUCUGAAUAACUUUAAGCUGAUCGCACGGUCACGCACCGGCGACGCAUCUUUCAAAUGUCUGCCUUAUCAACUGUCGAUGGUAGGUUCUGCGCCUACCAUGGUUGUAACGGGUAACGGGGAAUCAGGGUUCGAUUCCGGAGAGGGAGCCUGAGAAACGGCUACCACAUCCAAGGAAGGCAGCAGGCGCGCAAAUUACCCACUCCCGGCACGGGGAGGUAGUGACGAAAAAUAACGAUACGGGACUCAUCCGAGGCCCCGUAAUCGGAAUGAGUACACUUUAAAUCCUUUAACGAGGAUCAAUUGGAGGGCAAGUCUGGUGCCAGCAGCCGCGGUAAUUCCAGCUCCAAUAGCGUAUAUUAAAGUUGUUGCGGUUAAAAAGCUCGUAGUCGAAUCUGUGUCUCGCGCCGCUGGUUCAUCGUUCGCGGUGUUAACUGGCGUUUUGCGAGACGUCCUGCCGGUGGGCUUAGCUCGCAAGGGCGGCCCAACUUUAAUCCUGCCGCGGUGCUCUUCACUGAGUGUCUUGGUGGGCCGGCACAUUUACUUUGAACAAAUUAGAGUGCUUAAAGCAGGCUAAAAUUUCGCCUGAAUACUGUGUGCAUGGAAUAAUGGAAUAGGACCUCGGUUCUAUUUUGUUGGUUUUCGGAACCCCGAGGUAAUGAUUAAUAGGAACGGAUGGGGGCAUUCGUAUUGCGACGUU